UACAGAGGGUGCGAGCGUUGUUCGGAAUUACUGGGCGUAAAGCGCGCGCAGGCGGCCUUUUAAGUCUCGUGGUGAAAUGCCGGGGCUCAACCCCGUGCCCGCCGGAGAUACUGGGAGGCUGGAGACGAGUAGAGGCAAGCGGAAUUCCUGGUGUAGCGGUGAAAUGCGCAGAUAUCAGGAGGAACACCAAUUGCGAAGGCAGCUCGCUGGGACGUUACUGACGCUGAGACGCGAAAGCGUGGGGAGCAAACAGG
rnacentral:rRNA from 1 species